UACGUAGGGUGCGAGCGUUAAUCGGAAUUACUGGGCGUAAAGCGUGCGCAGGCGGUUAUGUAAGACAGUUGUGAAAUCCCCGGGCUCAACCUGGGAAUUGCAUCUGUGACUGCAUAGCUAGAGUACGGUAGAGGGGGAUGGAAUUCCGCGUGUAGCAGUGAAAUGCGUAGAUAUGCGGAGGAACACCGAUGGCGAAGGCAAUCCCCUGGACCUGUACUGACGCUCAUGCACGAAAGGCGUGGGGAGCAAACGAG
rnacentral:rRNA from 1 species